CGGCCCGUGAGCCUCGCCACCAGCGGGGGCUCGGAGGAGGAGGACAAAGACGGUGGGGUGCUGUUCCACGUGAACAAGAGCGGCUUCCCCAUGGACAGCCACACCUGGGAACGCAUGUGGAUGCACGUGGCCAAAGUGCACCCCAAGGGAGGAGAGAUGGUGGGGGCCAUCAGGAACGCGGCCUUCCUGGCAAAGCCUUCAGUACCCCAGGUCCCAAACUACAGGCUGUCCAUGACGAUCCCAGACUGGCUCCAGGCGAUCCAGAAUUACAUGAAGACACUACAAUAUAAUCACACGGGGACCCAGUUCUUUGAAAUUAGGAAAAUGAGACCACUGAGCGGGUUAAUGGAAACAGCAAAGGAAAUGACCCGAGAGUCCUUACCUAUCAAAUGCCUUGAAGCCGUCAUCCUGGGCAUUUUCCAAUCAGCUGUACCUCAUAUGGCCCUGAAAACCUGUGAUGCCGCGCACUUAUUGGUGGUGGUCGAGAUGGAACACAGUCAGCUAGAAGAGCAGAGAAGCUCCGGGUCCUCUGGAGUGCGUGGCUGGAAGGGACAGUGGCAAAGGAAACAGCAAGACGUGAGCCCGAGAGACAGGGCCCCAGGGGAAGCCAGUUGGGUGGAAAGUGAUCUUUUCCCCAAAGGCAACGGGCAGCACGGGUGGAAGGAAUCUCCAGAGCAGACAGUCAGAGGCGCCUUUCACAGAGAGGCUGCCAACGGGGCAGAUCGGACCAGGCUGGGAUCUGUUACCGGAGGGAAGGCUAACGCACAAGCCGUGGCUGAGGGAAUGGGAUGGGCUAGAGGGGCGGUUUCAGGAGCUAGCAAGGAAGUAGGUUGACAGGAAUCCGAGGCAGCUGCACCGGAAGUGGGUAGGAGCCAGCAAAUGGAGGUUUCCUGGUUUGGACACAGACAGGUGGAGAGUGGGCCAGAGGGAUGGGAGUGACAGAGAGGUCACGAAAGCUUCCCUCUGGUGCCAACCUGGACACAGCAGCGGGCACACGAGGCAUUGGAAGUAGAUCAACGAUGCUACAGCGGGCUGCUGAGAUGUUAGCUCAAGGAAGGAGCAGUGGCCCCCCAUUUUUGGCCUGCCUAAUAAAAGGGAGAUCCGAUUUAUGGGGACCCUGGUUCAGAUCGGACAGGUGGAAUUCGGGGUAUUUGGAGACGGCGCUCACAGUGGGAACAACGCUGGGAACGCGAGUUCAGGAUCCGAUUUUUGGGGAGGUGUGAUUCCUAAGAAGUUAGGACAGAAUGCUCAAGAGUGAAAUUUCAGUGUUUUUCUGUGCGGCUGGAUAUAAAAAGCCCAUGAAAGAGACUUCAGAAGAGGUGCAGCAGGGAAAUCAGGUGAGAGGAGAAGCUACAGUGGGUGGAAGGACAUAGGGCUGGUCCAGCCUGCUUGCUUGGUCUUCUGGCUGACUUGGCUGGCAGGAGCUCCUGCGCCCCUGAGGACUGCUGUCUACGGGCGCCUGGGCUCACAUUUGAAAGCGUAAACUUGAGCCUUCCCGCGCGCCUCUCCAGCCCUCCUGGGUUGCUCCCCACAAAGGAGCGAGCAGGAGGCCAGGGCUGGGGUCGGCCAACAGAUGGCUGAGGCCUCCAGCUCCCCAGCGGCCACAGCUGUUCAGCAGAGCCUCUUGCAAGUUUAAUGGGGUGAACCAUUGGCCAGGGAUCUGCUGGAGGAGAUAGAGGAGGAGAGCACCAGGUGGUGGAGCUAACCUCAGACGCCCCCUGCCGGGCAGUGGGUGCACCUGCCUACAGCUCGCCCUCACCCUCCACGGUUGUGUGCACCAAGCACCUGGUCUGGGAAAUUACCUACCUGGAGGCGUUGCAGGUGGACAGGAAAAGACCCGGGACCUGCUUCAGCCUGCGGGCCUGUGCUUUUGGUUUUCCUUUGUUCUCACCCAUGUGACGUUUCAGAAAAGUGCAGGGAAGGCAGAGAGGGUGGAGACAUUGAGCUCAUGCUGCUGAACUCAGGGAAAUCUGACUCUUGGACACAGACAAGAAACACAAAGCUGAAAUCUAAAAGUUACAGCAUCUUUGUCUGACGCUUGCUCUGAGUCAGUGUCCUGUGUGCCACUUUCCCCUGGGGGUGGUGAAGGAUGACUUGGGUCUUCAUCUGUCUCCGCAGCAACCUGGUCCUGAGACAGAAGCCGUCCUCAGCAGCCAGAAGCUGGUCUGUUGGCCCUGUGGCACACGUGGGUGCCUGGACCAUUUACCUGGCCUUCUGGCAUUUUCUUUCUUUGUAUUCUAGCCCCGAAGUCCAUGGUGAAGGGCCACUUUUUUUAUGUUGCUUAAGUGCAUGUACUCACUUUCGCAUGCAUGCUGGAUACUAGGAUCUCUGGUUCCGAAUUAUUUUCUGCAUUACAGCAAUUAUUUUGUAGGCCCUCACUGGCCAUGGCGAGGGUACUGAAGGACUGUGGUUGAUUAGAGUAACAGGUGCCUUGUGACAGCUAGACUCUACAUUUCUCAGAGGCUGAGUGCCAGCAGAUUAGCCAAAGGUUUGGGGUGUUGCUGCCCACCUCCCAAUAAACUCAGGCCACUUCCCUGCCUGCACCUGACUUCCUCUUCCUCUCCUCCCUCUCCGAGUCCCGUGGCUUUGCUGAUUGCAGCCCCAGCUGGCUCCUUGUUUGGAAAGACUAAUCCCAGUGUUCCUGAGCUGAGGCCCCUCCUCUGUCCUCUCAGGGACUUCUGGGCUUGCCUCUCUUACCGCAUACAUCACAUGGUGUUUUGUUUUAUUUUGAUAAAAGCUUCUCAGCAUAAAGUUUGCUCUUUCAGCCAUUAUUAAGGGUCCAGUUCAGUGGCCACAGCGCAUUCAGCGUCCUGUGCGGCAUCCCCGCCAUGCAUCUCCAGAGCUUUUCCAUCUGUGCUGCAAUUGUCUACCAUUAAACAGCAGCUCCCCUUCCUCCUCCCAGACCCUGGGAACCCCACGCUUCCCUUUCUCUGGAAUUUGACUCCCCUAGGAACCUUGGACUCCUACAAGAAGUACCUGCACACAGUCAAGAAGGUCAAGAUUGGGCUGUAUGUCCCCC